rnacentral:rRNA from 1 species
AGUGAACGCUGGCGGUAGGCCUAACACAUGCAAGUCGAACGGCAGCACAGUAUGAGCUUGCUCUUACGGGUGGCGAGUGGCGGACGGGUGAGGAAUACAUCGGAAUCUACUUUUUCGUGGGGGAUAACGUAGGGAAACUUACGCUAAUACCGCAUACGACCUACGGGUGAAAGCAGGGGAUCUUCGGACCUUGCGCGAUUGAAUGAGCCGAUGUCGGAUUAGCUAGUUGGCGGGGUAAAGGCCCACCAAGGCGACGAUCCGUAGCUGGUCUGAGGAUGAUCAGCCACACUGGAACUGAGACACGGUCCAGACUCCUACGGGAGGCAGCAGUGGGGAAUAUUGGACAAUGGGCGCAAGCCUGAUCCAGCCAUACCGCGUGGGUGAAGAAGGCCUUCGGGUUGUAAAGCCCUUUUGUUGGGAAAGAAAAGCAGCAGGUUAAUACCCCGCUGUUCUGACGGUACCCAAAGAAUAAGCACCGGCUAACUUCGUG